rnacentral:lncRNA from 1 species
UUAAAAAAGUAGUUAUCGAAAAAAUCACACACAUACCAUAAUGACAUUAUUACAUUGGUCUAGUAUUACUCACUGAUGGGCAGUCGGCCUUUAAUUUUCCAUCUCUUUGAACUCAUCCUCAGAUGGUUAGCCUGAUCGAUAUCUAUCCAAGCUUCAGUAGCAACUAGUAAGAGUGAAGAAGAGGAAUGCUGUUCAUGCAUAGUGCUAGCUAGCUACUUCAAAAUCACCUAAUUCCUGCUGAUUUGAUCCAUAUUCACAUUAUGUUUUCUUCUACAAUCUCUAGCUGAACACAUGGAAGAGAAACCAACAUAUCAUACAGAAAGUCCAGGCAGGAUGCUGCAUCAAUCUCUUCUGCCAUUGUAGCACACUAGCACUGCAAGUCGUUGCUGGCCGGCGCCGCCGCCUACUCUGCCGAGUUGAUUGUAUUGACCAUUGAUGAGCCGAUCCAUCACUGCAUGAAAUGGUCAGACGACGAUCCAUAAGCGUCGUGGCUGGGGAAGAAAGCAAGGGAGAGCAGCGAGAGCAGCAGGACGACGGGGACGAUCAGCAGCAGCGACGGCGGCGGCGGCAGGGGAGGAAGCAUCAGCGGAAGCAGCAGAAGCACCACGGCCGCUGUCGCGACGAGCAGCACCACCAUGCUUCCUUCCAUGGCUGGCUGGUUAUUAGAAGAGUAAAAACCUAGCUAACUGACCUGCAUACACAAGAUACAACUACAAGCGUGAUGUACUGAUCGAUGUGUGUGCAUGUGUCAUGAGGCUGAGAGAGAGAGAGGUGACCACACUGACCAAGAGGGAGAGGAAGGAUCCUAUAUAUGUGUCCAUGGCGACAUGGCGUCAAUUGAUGGCUGAAGGGCAUGGCAUGGCAUCCCUCUUGUCCGGACAGUGAAAUCGGGUACAGAUCGAGAUUGGCAUACAACGCAAGUAGGGAGAAAGAGAAUGGAUCAACU